AACCAUAUACACUUGGCAUUUAAUUACAUAUAUUUUGGAUGAUAUAGUUGUUUCACAUAAGACAAGGACAUGGCAUCUUAUUACCAGCCAUCACACAAAAUUAACAGGAUGCCACGUCCCCAUCCUAGAUGGAACAACCACGUCAUCUCACGGAUGAAUCCAUUCAUCGAUAGUGUGGUU
rnacentral:pre_miRNA from 1 species